rnacentral:rRNA from 1 species
CCUACGGGGGGCAGCAGUGAGGAAUCUUGGUCAAUGGCCGGAAGGCUGAACCAGCCAUGCCGCGUGAAGGUCAGUGCCCUAUGGGCGUUAAACUUCUUUUGUGCGGGAGCAAUAAUGGUCACGUGUGGCCAGACGAGAGUACCGUAUGACUAAGCAUCGGCUAACUCCGUGCCAGCAGCCGCGGUACUACGGGGGAUGCAAGCGUUAUCCGGUUUUAUUGGGUUUAAAGGGUGCGUAGGCUGUGAGGGAAGUCAGCGGUGAAAUGCCCCCGCUCAACGGGGUGAAGUGCCAUUGAUUCUGGCUUGCUGGAAGGCGGAUGCGGUGGGAGGAAUGUGUGGUGUAGCGGUGAAAUGCAUAGAUAU